CCUACGGGUGGCAGCAGUGAGGAAUAUUGGUCAAUGGACGGAAGUCUGAACCAGCCAAGCCGCGUGCGGGAAGACGGCUCUGUGAGUUGUAAACUGCUUUUGUCAAAGGAUAAACCUGGAUACUUGUAUUCAGCUGAGGGUACUUGACGAAUAAGGAUCGGCUAACUCCGUGCCAGCAGCCGCGGUAAUACGGAGGAUCCAAGCGUUAUCCGGAUUUAUUGGGUUUAAAGGGUGCGUAGGCGGAUUGAUAAGUUAGAGGUGAAAUGUCCGAGCUUAACUCCGGCACUGCCUCUAAUCCUGGCGAGCUAGAGAGUAGAUGCGGUAGGCGGAAUGUAUGGUGUAGCGGUGAAAUGCUUAGAGAUCAUACAGAACCCCGAUUGCGAAGGCAGCUUACCAAA
rnacentral:rRNA from 1 species